UUCUUCUUAAUCCCAUUAGCAAACUAUCAACACGUCUCAAGGCUUAACAUAUUUAGAGCUUGCAUAUUUUGUAAAUUACCAUAAUAAUUGAAAGAAAAAAUGUCAUCAUUACGAUUUUAUUAAUAGCAAAGUAGAAUUAUUGGCUAAAUACAAUUGUUGAAAGAAUUUUUAAUCGUUAUACUUUUUAUGGCAUUAUUGUGAAAAUCUCAAAUGCAAAUAACAUCAUCAAUAUAUUUUAAUGAUAAUUUAGCAUUAAAGUAAUAUAAUGUCAUCAUUAAGAUUGUAGCACCGAUGAACCAAAUAUGAGAAUCAGAUAUCAAAUACAAACGUUGUUAGGAGAAAUGCAAAGUAAUUUAUAAUCAUUGCACAUUUCAUUUUAGUUAUUGUAAUAAGUAGUGAAACAUACCUAACAUGUUUGUAGGAAUUUGGAGCUGAGAGGUAAUUCAUGCUAUGCAAAUGGACUGGCCCAAUUAGCAAAUGAAUUCAUAGGGUAGGAGACAUGUAUGAAAACAAUUCAUGAUUUAAAGACAAUUUAAGAGAGAAUACAAAAUAUAGAAAUAGAGAACUUUUAUAAAGUCCUUUGGUAAUGCGAAAUUGUCAAAUCAAAUAGUAAUUCUAUUAUUUCAUUAUAAGUGUUGCUUUGAUCAUGAAAAUAUUAAAAGAUCAAUGGUCAAACAAUGAAAAGAAUCUCUCCUAACUUUAGAAAUCUACAUUUAACAACUUUUUUUCUUUUAGGGUAUGUUUGAAGUCAUGGAUUUUAG